CUCAACAGGUUAGAGGCACAGAACUCAUUUAAACAACCGUUACAUGUACACAGGUCUAUAAAUGUGGUUCGCAGUUAGACAUUCUUGGUGUUAUCAAGUGCUAUUCCCAGAUAGCUUCUAAACAAAGCAGACAUGCUGGCAGUUUGGCUUUUCCAUUGUUUUUAUUUGUAAAUAAAAACUUUAAAUGCGUCGGAAGAUCCUCAAAAUCCUUAAUUCCCAGCUGAAGAAGAAGCUAGCAAGGAAGGAUGAUCCAGCAAAGAAGGACGACUGCAGGCCAUUUAAAGAAGGUUUUUGGGGACUACAUGGAAGGAGUUCAGCCAGAUGGAUCAAGGAGAAGGAUUUGGAAGGAAUGCCCGGAUUAUUGAAAGAAUUUUACUGUUUUUAUAUCUGCUUUGUAAUAAAUAUUGAGUUCUGAUUAAAUAUUAUAACGUUUUAA